rnacentral:rRNA from 1 species
UUACGGUCAAAUCACGCUGAAACACCGGUUCUUGUUCGAUCACCGAAGUUAAGCAUCGUAGAGCCAGGUCAGUACUUAGAUGGGGGACCGCUUGGGAACACCUGGUACUGUAAG